rnacentral:rRNA from 1 species
CCUACGGGAGGCAGCAGUGGGGAAUAUUGGACAAUGGGCGAAAGCCUGAUCCAGCCAUGCCGCGUGUGUGAAGAAGGCCUUCGGGUUGUAAAGCACUUUCAGUGGGGAAGAAAGCCUUGGGGCUAAUACCCUCGAGGAAGGACAUCACCCACAGAAGAAGCACCGGCUAACUCCGUGCCAGCAGCCGCGGUAAUACGGAGGGUGCGAGCGUUAAUCGGAAUUACUGGGCGUAAAGCGCGCGUAGGCGGUCUGAUAAGCCGGUUGUGAAAGCCCCGGGCUCAACCUGGGAACGGCAUCCGGAACUGUCAGGCUAGAGUGCAGGAGAGGAGGGUAGAAUUCCCGGUGUAGCGGUGAAAUGCGUAGAGAUCGGGAGGAAUACCAGUGGCGAAGGCGGCCUUCUGGACUGACACUGACGCUGAGGUGCGAAAGCGUGGGUAGCAAACAGGAUUAGAUACCCCUGUAGUC